rnacentral:rRNA from 1 species
GACGAACGCUGGCGGCGUGCUUAAUACAUGCAAGUCGAACGGAAAGGCCCUGCUUUUGUGGGGUGCUCGAGUGGCGAACGGGUAAGUAACACGUGAGUAACCUGCCCUUGACUUUGGGAUAACUUCAGGAAACUGGGGCUAAUACCGGAUAGGAGCUCCUGCUGCAUGGUGGGGGUUGGAAAGUUUCGGCGGUUGGGGAUGGACUCGCGGCUUAUCAGCUUGUUGGUGGGGUAGUGGCUUACCAAGGCUUUGACGGGUAGCCGGCCUGAGAGGGUGACCGGCCACAUUGGGACUGAGAUACGGCCCAGACUCCUACGGGAGGCAGCAGUGGGGAAUAUUGCACAAUGGGCGGAAGCCUGAUGCAGCAACGCCGCGUGCGGGAUGACGGCCUUCGGGUUGUAAACCGCUUUCGCCUGUGACGAAGCGUGAGUGACGGUAAUGGGUAAAGAAGCACCGGCUAACUACGUG